GCCUGGCUGUCACUUUUAGGGCAUUUUGGUCAUUUCGAAUUUCUCCUAUUAAAAUACUAGGAGAUUCCGAUAAGUUUCACCAUUUAUGAACACAUAUCAGUCCACUUGUCCUUCUUCUGAUCUUCUGCUUCUUCUUCAUUACAACUGAGCGAUUGACAAUUUCUGUGGUACUUGACAAAAUUCUUCAAUGAUUCGAGCUUUCAUCCAGGAAGAGUUUGACAAAAUCUGACAAAACAGUGGUUCAUCAAUCCAUGGAGUGUCUGAUAUGUUUAUAGGUGCUUUGGGAGGAGGGCAGCUGGGUCGUAUGUUGUGUCAAGAAGUAUCCCAAAUAGCACUCAAAGUGAUUGUCUUGGACCCGAUGGAGAAUUGCCCGGCAAGUACAUUAGCACAUAUCAUGUGGUGAGAAGUUAUGAUGAUAGUGUCACCGUUAAAGAAUUUGGAAAAAGGUUUUUUGUUUUGGUCAAAUAUAUGUUUGCUGUUUUGACUAUUCUGCAAGUUAAUUUGAAUAUUAAAGUUACGUGCGGAGUUCUAAUAGUUGAGAUCGAGCAUGUUGAUGUGGGUACAUUUGAGAAGCUUGAACGUCAAGGUGUGGAUUGUGAACCUAAAGCCUCUACUAUUCGUAUAAUCCAGGAUAAAUAUCUUCAGAAGAUCUACUUUUCUCAACAUGCAAUUACACUUCCUAGAUUAUGCAGGGGAUCUGUUCGGUUGUCCUCUGAUGAUAAAGAACAGGAGGCUGGCGUAUGAUGGGCGUGGCAAUGCUGUAGCUAACAGUGAUGAGGAGAUCUCUUCUGCAAUUUAUGGUGAUACGUCUAUAAUUAUGUAAUGAUCAAGAUGUACAAAUUGACUCUUGUAGGUAUUAUGUAUUUUUUUACCAAACAUUUGAUGUGAUUGCUUCAUCAUGCAUAUUUGCGCAAAAAAAAUGC